rnacentral:rRNA from 1 species
UGGGGGAUAUUGCACAAUGGGGGAAAACCCUGAUGCAGCGACGCCGCGUGAGUGAAGAAGUAUUUCGGUAUGUAAAGCUCUAUCAGCAGGGAAGAAACUGACAGUACCUGAGUAAGAAGCCCCGGCUAACUACGUGCC